UACGUAGGGCGCAAGCGUUGUCCGGAAUUAUUGGGCGUAAAGAGCUCGUAGGCGGUUUGUUACGUCUGCUGUGAAAUCCUAGGGCUUAACCCUGGGCUUGCAGUGGAUACGGGCAGACUAGAGGGAGGUAGGGGAGAAUGGAAUUCCUGGUGUAGCGGUGAAAUGCGCAGAUAUCAGGAGGAACACCGGUGGCGAAGGCGGUUCUCUGGGCCUUAACUGACACUGAGGAGCGAAAGCGUGGGGAGCGAACAGG
rnacentral:rRNA from 1 species